CUGAAAUGAUUUGUGAAGUAGAUGUAUAGGCUC
rnacentral:sRNA from 1 species